GAGGAUAUAGCUCAGUGGUAGAGCACGUGCUUAGCAUGCAUGAGGUCCUGGGUUCGAUCCCAGUGCCUGCG
rnacentral:tRNA from 1 species